UACGUAGGGGGCAAGCGUUGUCCGGAUUUAUUGGGCGUAAAGCGCGUGUAGGCGGCCAGAUAGGUCUGCUGUGAAAACUCGAGGCUCAACCUCGAGCUGUCGGCGGAAACCAUCUGGCUAGAGUCCGGAAGAGGAGAGUGGAAUUCCUGGUGUAGCGGUGAAAUGCGCAGAGAUCGGCAGGAACACCCAGGGGGAAACCAGCCGACUGGGCAUCUGCUGACGCUGAUGUGCGAGAGCGUGGGGAGCGAAUCGG
rnacentral:rRNA from 1 species